rnacentral:rRNA from 1 species
AGUGAACGCCGGCGGUAGGCCUAACACAUGCAAGUCGAACGGCAGCACAGUAAGAGCUUGCUCUUACGGGUGGCGAGUGGCGGACGGGUGAGGAAUACAUCGGAAUCUACUUUUUCGUGGGGGAUAACGUAGGGAAACUUACGCUAAUACCGCAUACGACCUACGGGUGAAAGCAGGGGAUCUUCGGACCUUGCGCGAUUGAAUGAGCCGAUGUCGGAUUAGCUAGUUGGCGGGGUAAAGGCCCACCAAGGCGACGAUCCGUAGCUGGUCUGAGAGGAUGAUCAGCCACACUGGAACUGAGGCACGGUCCAGACUCCUACGGGAGGCAGCAGUGGGGAAUAUUGGACAAUGGGCGCAAGCCUGAUCCAGCCAUACCGCGUGGGUGAAGAAGGCCUUCGGGUUGUAAAGCCCUUUUGUUGGGAAAGAAAAGCAGCAGGUUAAUACCCCGCUGUUCUGACGGUACCCAAAGAAUAAGCACCGGCUAACUUCGUG